CAGAAUCCCCUCCCCCAAUACCCCCAAGUGAAUCCAUCCCACUACUACACAAAAUAAUACUUCUUUCCCUCCGAGUCAGAGACGGAUUUUCAUAUUUUCGUUCAGGGGGUGGAUAAUAUCUGGGGAGGGUGCUGCUGCUUGCUUUGUCCGGGGCAUGGUGGCAACACCCAGAAAGGCCAAGGAAAAAGUUUAACAAAAUUUUUUCUAGGCCUGCAUGGCGAGAUCUGAGACCAUAAUAUUGGUAAUUUUACAAAUUUAGUAGUAAGAAUAAUCAAAUAUGAAACUAUCAAAUCGAAAUAUAUGUAAUUUGUAGGGGUGCCAAAUGCCUUUGGGAGGUGCAAUUCAUUUCUGGGAGGGUGCGCCCCCCCUCCCCCACACACACACACACACACAGAAAAUCUGUGCCUGCUCUGAAUUAACAAUGAAAGCAUUUUUUUACAGAUCUCUGCAAUAUUAUGUUUACAAGUUCCUUGAAGAUAUGAUUAUAAUAAAUGGUGACAUAUGUCUGUACAUUGUAGAGCAUUUUGUACAUAUUUUGUACUUAUAUUACUGAGGCCAAAUAAACAUAAUAGUUGGUUUCAGGUUUCACAGCCAUGUUUUAUAUGGGUAGGUAGGUUGGAAAAGCAUUUUAUUUAAAAACACAUAAUCAGACGUGCCACACGGGAUCAACCGGGAGCUACACAUGUUUUGCGAGAAACAAAUGCGUCAAGGAUUAACAUGACUAGAUAAUGAUUAAAUUAUGAGCAAACAAAAUACUUUGUAGCAAAUGACUCUGAUGACUAUUUAUAUAUUCUGAUAUUUACGAAAAGAUGA